rnacentral:rRNA from 1 species
GACGAACGCUGGCGGCGUGCUUAACACAUGCAAGUCGAACGGAGUGGCGAACGGGUGAGUAACACGUGGGUGAUCUGCCUUGCACUUCGGGAUAAGCUUGGGAAACUGGGUCUAAUACCGGAUAGUGCAAGAUGAGCUCGCGGCCUAUCGGCUUGUUGGUGGGGUAAUGGCCUACCAAGGCGUCGACGGGUAGCCGGCCUGAGAGGGUGUACGGGCACAUGGGGACUGAGAGACGGCCCAGACGGCUACGGGAGGCAGGAGUGGGGAAUAUUGCACAAUUGGCGGAAGCGUGAUGCAGCGACGCCGCGUGGGGGAUGAAGGCCUUCGGGGUGGAAACUCCUUGGGACAGGGACGCGGUACCUGUAGAAGAAGCACCGGCUAACUACGUGCCAGCAGCCGCGGUAAUAC